rnacentral:rRNA from 1 species
UGAGAGGAUGAUCAGCCACAUUGGGACUGAGACACGGCCCAAACUCCUACGGGAGGCAGCAGUGGGGAAUCUUGCACAAUGGAGGAAACUCUGAUCCAGCGAUGCCGCGUGAGUGAAGAAGGCCCUUGGGUUGUAAAGCUCUUUC